CCUACGGGAGGCAGCAGUGGGGAAUAUUGCACAAUGGGGGAAACCCUGAUGCAGCGACGCCGCGUGAGUGAAGAAGUACUUCGUUAUGUAAAGCUCUAUCAGCAGGGAAGAAAAUGACGGUACCUGAGUAAGAAGCCCCGGCUAACUACGUGCCAGAAGCCGCGGUAAGACGUAGGGGACAAGCGUUAUCCGGAUUUACGGGGUGUAAAGGGAGCGUAGACGGCAGUGCAAGUCUGGAGUGAAAGGCGGGGGCUCAACCCCCGGACUGCUAUGGAAACUGUACGGCUGGAGUGCAGGAGAGGUGAGAGGAAUUCCUGGUGUAGCGGUGAAAUGCGUAGAUAUUAGGAGGAACACCAGUGGCGAAGGCGGCUUACUGGACUGUAACUGACGUUGAGGCUCGAAAGCGUGGGGAGCAAACAGGAUUAGAUACCCUUGUAGUC
rnacentral:rRNA from 1 species